rnacentral:rRNA from 1 species
GACGAACGCUGGCGGCGUGCUUAACACAUGCAAGUCGAACGGAAAGGCCCUGCUUUUGUGGGGUGCUCGAGUGGCGAACGGGUGAGUAACACGUGAGUAACCUGCCCUUGACUUUGGGAUAACUUCAGGAAACUGGGGCUAAUACCGGAUAGGAGCUCCUGCGGCAUGGUGGGGGUUGGAAAGUGUCGGCGGUUGGGGAUGGACUCGCGGCUUAUCAGCUUGUUGGUGGGGUAGGGGCUUACCAAGGCUUUGACGGGUAGCCGGCCUGAGAGGGUGACCGGCCACCUUGGGCCUGAGAUACGGACCAGACUCCUACGGGAGGCAGCAGUGGGGAAUCUUGCACAAUGGGCGGACGCCUGAUGCAGCAACGCCGCGUGCGGGAUGACGGCCUUCGGGUUGUAAACCGCUUUCGCCUGUGACGAAGCGUGAGUGACGGUAAUGGGUAAAGAAGCACCGGCUAACUACGUG